AAAUUGAAGAGUUUGAUCAUGGCUCAGAUUGAACGCUGGCGGCAGGCCUAACACAUGCAAGUCGAGCGGUAGCACAGAGAGCUUGCUCUCGGGUGACGAGCGGCGGACGGGUGAGUAAUGUCUGGGAAACUGCCUGAUGGAGGGGGAUAACUACUGGAAACGGUAGCUAAUACCGCAUAAUGUCGCAAGACCAAAGUGGGGGACCUUCGGGCCUCAUGCCAUCAGAUGUGCCCAGAUGGGAUUAGCUAGUAGGUGGGGUAACGGCUCACCUAGGCGACGAUCCCUAGCUGGUCUGAGAGGAUGGCCAGCCACACUGGAACUGAGACACGGUCCAGACUCCUACGGGAGGCAGCAGUGGGGAAUAUUGCACAAUGGGCGCAAGCCUGAUGCAGCCAUGCCGCGUGUGUGAAGAAGGCCUUCGGGUUGUAAAGCACUUUCAGCGGGGAGGAAGGCGGUGAGGUUAAUAACCUCAUCGAUUGACGUUACCCGCAGAAGAAGCACCGGCUAACUCCGUGCCAGCAGCCGCGGUAAUACGGAGGGUGCAAGCGUUAAUCGGAAUUACUGGGCGUAAAGCGCACGCAGGCGGUCUGUCAAGUCGGAUGUGAAAUCCCCGGGCUCAACCUGGGAACUGCAUUCGAAACUGGCAGGCUAGAGUCUUGUAGAGGGGGGUAGAAUUCCAGGUGUAGCGGUGAAAUGCGUAGAGAUCUGGAGGAAUACCGGUGGCGAAGGCGGCCCCCUGGACAAAGACUGACGCUCAGGUGCGAAAGCGUGGGGAGCAAACAGGAUUAGAUACCCUGGUAGUCCACGCCGUAAACGAUGUCGAUUUGGAGGUUGUGCCCUUGAGGCGUGGCUUCCGGAGCUAACGCGUUAAAUCGACCGCCUGGGGAGUACGGCCGCAAGGUUAAAACUCAAAUGAAUUGACGGGGGCCCGCACAAGCGGUGGAGCAUGUGGUUUAAUUCGAUGCAACGCGAAGAACCUUACCUGGUCUUGACAUCCACAGAACUUUCCAGAGAUGGAUUGGUGCCUUCGGGAACUGUGAGACAGGUGCUGCAUGGCUGUCGUCAGCUCGUGUUGUGAAAUGUUGGGUUAAGUCCCGCAACGAGCGCAACCCUUAUCCUUUGUUGCCAGCGGUCCGGCCGGGAACUCAAAGGAGACUGCCAGUGAUAAACUGGAGGAAGGUGGGGAUGACGUCAAGUCAUCAUGGCCCUUACGACCAGGGCUACACACGUGCUACAAUGGCAUAUACAAAGAGAAGCGACCUCGCGAGAGCAAGCGGACCUCAUAAAGUAUGUCGUAGUCCGGAUUGGAGUCUGCAACUCGACUCCAUGAAGUCGGAAUCGCUAGUAAUCGUAGAUCAGAAUGCUACGGUGAAUACGUUCCCGGGCCUUGUACACACCGCCCGUCACACCAUGGGAGUGGGUUGCAAAAGAAGUAGGUAGCUUAACCUUCGGGAGGGCGCUUACCACUUUGUGAUUCAUGACUGGGGUGAAGUCGUAACAAGGUAACCGUAGGGGAACCUGCGGUUGGAUCACCUCCUUA
rnacentral:rRNA from 1 species